rnacentral:rRNA from 1 species
GACGAACGCUGGCGGCGUGCUUAACACAUGCAAGUCGAACGGAAAGGCCCUGCUUUUGUGGGGUGCUCGAGUGGCGAACGGGUGAGUAACACGUGAGUAACCUGCCCUUGACUUUUGGAUAACUUCAGGAAACUGGGGCUAAUACCGGAUAGGAGCUCCUGCUGCAUGGUGUGGGUGGGAAAGUUUCGGCGGUUGGGGAUGGACUCGCGGCUUAUCAGCUUGUUGGUGGGGUAGUGGCUUACCAAGGCUUUGACGGGUAGCCGGCCUGAGAGGGUGACCGGCCACAUUGGGACUGAGAUACGGCCCAGACUCCUACGGGAGGCAGCAGUGGGGAAUAUUGCACAAUGGGCGGAAGCCUGAUGCAGCAACGCCGCGUGCGGGAUGACGGCCUUCGGGUUGUAAACCGCUUUCGCCUGUGACGAAGCGUGAGUGACGGUAAUGGGUAAAGAAGCACCGGCUAACUACGUG